rnacentral:rRNA from 1 species
AUGGAAAAUUACUGGAAAUCUUUUACAGCGACAAAUGCCUAUGUGCAAGCUGUCAUAUGCAAUAAAGGUAAGGGGGUGGUUGACAAGUGGAGGUAUGCUACUCCACCCGCAAUUGGUCACCGAGUUUGGGAGCCCCCGGAUCCUGAGUAUAUUAAGAUUAAUGUUGAUGCAAGUUUUGUGGAGAGCAUGAGAUCUGCUAGUGUUGAAGUUGCUGUCAGGAAUGACCUGGGCGAAGUAUUGGUCUCAUCACGGGAUUUUAUCCGCUCCUGUACUUGUGUGGAUGAAGCGAAACUUCGUGCGGCCCUUGCCGGGUUAUACAUAGGUAUUACACUUCACAAACCAUUUAUUCUGGAAACUGAUUACGCUUUUGUUGUUUCUUGUCUGGCUAGAGAUUCCAUUGACAGGUCUUCGUUGGCGGACCUGAAAAUGGAGGCGUUGAGCGUAUCAAAACUCAUAAAGGAUUUUAAGAUCACGAAGAUUGAUAGGCGGGCAAAUAGGAUGGCGCACAAGAUUGCAAAAUUCAGUUUUGACAGUAGAUCUGAGGGCCUUUUAUAUAAUAGUGUUCCGCCAUGUGUAACUGCUUUUGUAAUGAACGAUUGUAAGAACCUUAAUUUACCAAAGUAA